rnacentral:snRNA from 1 species
AUCGCUUCUCGGCCUUUUGGCUAAUAUUAAGUGUAGUAUCUGUUCUUAUCAGUUUAAUCGGAUACGUCCUCUAUCCAAGGACAAUAUAUUAAAUGGAUUUUUGGAGCAGGGAGAUGGAAUAGGAGCUUGUUCCAUCCACUCUACACAUCGACCUGGUAUUUCAGUACUUCCAGGAACGGUGCACCCCCU